rnacentral:lncRNA from 1 species
AGGCAGGGAGAGGCCAUGUGAGCAGGAGCUCUGAGCCGGGCACCUCUCAGGACAAGGGGAGGUGACUCACCACGGAGCAGGUGGGAGUAGGAAAGUUGUCCGCGGCCGGGGGGUGGG